GCGCACCAGGCGCGAAAACUUUACAAUGUGCGAAAGCACGAUAAGGGAACUCUGAGUGCCUCCUAAGGAGGCUGUUCAGGUGUCUAAAAAGCACCUGGAGUAAGGGCUGGGUAAGACCGGUGCCAGCCGCCGCGGUAACACCGGCAGCCCAGGUGGUAGCCACUUUUAUUGGGUCUAAAGCGUCCGUAGCCGGUUGAGUAAGUUCCUUGGGAAAUUUGGCUGCUCAACAGUCAAGCUUCCAGGGAAUACUGCUCGACUUGGGGACUGGGAGAGGUCAGAGGUACUCCAGGGGUAGGGGUGAAAUCCAUUAAUCCCUGGGGGACCACCGGUAGCGAAGGCGUCUGACCAGACCAGGUCCGACGGUGAGGGACGAAGGCUAGGGUCGCG
rnacentral:rRNA from 1 species